CUGCUGUGAUGCAAUGUUCCAAACCAUUCGUAGUUUCCACCUGAAGUCCCGAGACUCAUGUUGGCUCAAGUUCCUUCCUUGGAUGUCUGAGCGG